UAUGCUAUGCGAUGUUGCAGGCAUAUUGUUAAUUUAUGUUUCUGCAAUGUCUCCGUAAUAUUGCAUUGCAAUCUGCAACAUUGCAACGUUGCUAGAAUUUUCUGUGCUGUAUGGGAAGCGAGCACGAAUCAUCAAAGGUGGAUGCUACUCCUUGAGUUAGACGAACCGCGACAACUACUCUUAAUACGCAUUGCAAAUUUUUCUUUGACGGACUAAGGGUCGCGCUUCAGAUGAAGAGUAAGGGGAAUAGGCUAGCGCUCUUUGGCAAUCGCACUCAUCUGUCAUUAUUCUUUUGACUUCAGCGCCUUUAAUGCAAGAUCUUUAAAUUGCCAUGAACACAAUUUCUGUUCUUCGCACCAAUACAGAUACGUGGAUGAUAUAAUGAUGGCUGUCCCAAACGAUUUCAAUUGAUUCUAUUUUAAUGACUUUUAACUCUUUCCAUCCGAGAAUGCAGUUCACAGUAGAAAUAGAGGGUGACAAGAUAAACAUUUCGGAUAUCAUAAUUAUUAAGGAUGACCAUUUUUUAACUAUUGACUGGUAUCAUAAGUCUACGUUUUCAGGCAAAUAUUUGAAUUUUUUAUCGGCUAAACCCUUGUCACAAAAAAAAGGAACCGUCAUGGAAAUGAUUGUUAGAGCAUUUUUAUUAUCUGACCCAAAAUUCCAUAGAAAGAACAUUGAGUUUAUUGUAGAUAUUCUUUUAACCAAUGACUACCCUGCUGAAUUUAUUUUUGAGACAAUUAAUAGCCGCUUAAAAUCCUUUACAAAAACACAUUUAAACAACAGUUAGUGAUAUCGACAACAAAUGAAAAGACUCAGUGGUUUUUGUUACCAUAUAUUCCCACAAUCUCAGAAAAAUUUAAGACUAUCACAAACAAUUUAAAUAUAAAAUUGGCAUUCUUUAGUCUUAAUAAAUUAAGCAAGGUUGUCAAAGUACAGAAAGAUGUUUCCCCAAAUAACUUAAAAAAGAAUGUUGUUUAUAAAAUUCUGUGUAAAGAUUGCGAUGCAUCAUACGUAGGCCAAACUAGUAGGAAAUUGGAAACAAGAAUUAUUGAACAUUAUAACCAUAUUAAUUGGAAUACGUAUAAUUACUCUGUCAUUACAGAACACAGAAUUAAUUAUAAUCAUGAUUUUGAUUGGGAAAACACCAAAAUUUUAGAUAAUGAAUAUUACUUGGACAGGCGGUUGAUAUUUGAAAUGCUACAUAUUCAAUUACAAGAUAACAGUCUUAAUUUACAAACAGACAUUAAAUGUUUGCAUCAUGCUUAUCUCUCGUUAUUGAAUAAAUUGUAAUAGAAAUAAUCCGAAACGAUAUACGAUAAUAAAUUGUGACUAAUUUUCAUUGUAACCCAGCAA